rnacentral:rRNA from 1 species
GACGAACGCUGGCGGCGUGCCUAAUACAUGCAAGUCGAGCGGACGGAUGGGAGCUUGCUCCCAUACCGUCAGCGGCGGACGGGUGGUUAACACUUGGUCAACCUGCCUGUAAUACUGGGAUAACUCCGGGAAACCGGGGCUAAUACCGGAUAACUCUUUCCCUCACAUGUGGGAAAGCUGAAAGAUCGCAUGUCGCUAUCACUUACAGAGGUGCCCGCGGUGCAUUAGCUAGAUGGGCAGGUAACGGCUCACCAAGGCGACGAGGCGGAGCCGAACUGAGGGAGUGAUAGGCCACACUAGGACGGGGACACGGCCCAGACUACUACGGGAGGCAGCAGUAGGGAAUCUGCCGCAAUGGACGAAAGUCUGACGGAGCAAGGCCGAGUGAGUGAUGAAGGUGUUCGGAUCGUAAAACUCUGUUGUCAGGGAAGAACAAGUACCGGCGUAACUGCCGGUACCUUGACGGUACCUGGUAAGAAAGCAACGGCUAACUACGUG